rnacentral:RNase_P_RNA from 1 species
GGAGUUGGCUGGGUGGCGGCCCCUUGUUCGCAAGGGGAGGAAAGUCCGGACUUCAUAGGAUACAGCGCCCGUCGAGGCCCUUCGGGGUUCAAGCCGGGGCGGGGCGACCCGACGGAAAGUGCCACAGAAAACUAGACCGCCUCGCCGCAAGGCGCGGUAAGGGUGAAAAGGUGCGGUAAGAGCGCACCAGCGGCUCGGGCAACCGGCCGGCUGGGUAAACCCCGCUGGAAGCAAGGCCGAAUAGGGAGGGGAUGACGCGAUCCGCCGAUCCUCCGGGUAGGCCGCGUAGAUAAAUCGUCGCCCAAGACAGAAUCCGGCUUAUAGGCUGGCUCCCAAA